AGGACUGCACUGGACAUUCUUCACUGUGCUUUCAUUUGUGGCUACAAAAGGGCAAAACUCCCCAAAAUAGUGCACUGUGUAGAGAAUAGGGUGUUAUUCAUAGAGACCGUGUACUCAUGGAAUUCCCACAAUGCUUUGCGAUAGGUUGGUGUCCAAAUUAUGUACGAUAGCUUGUACAAAACACCCAUGAUGUACUUUGUGUAGGGAACAGGGAGUAGAGCACCGUUUUGAGCACGGGGUAAGAGUUACUGGAACAUGCGGACACUUUCGAGGGGAAAUGUCACUUUAACGCCACAUUUUGUUGGGAUAGCGAUAAACAUUUAGACAGAACAUUAAAUAGUAAUGGAUAUAUUAUUAUUAUUAUUAUUAUUAUUUAAGGAAUUUAAUCCCCCCUUGUAGUUCCCAGUACAAACCCCACUUUCUAGUGCUGUUUGCUAAGUUUGCCGUUUUGUUAGCAAAACAAAAAAAAAUUAGCAAAGAGGACCAGAAACGUUUCAGAGAAAUGCUGUAGCACUUUAUCACCCCCAUCUGUCUUCUGUAGCUGCUCUAUCCUGGUCAGGGUUGUGGUGGAUCUGGAGCCUAUCCUGGGAACACUGGGCUAGAGGCAGGAAUACACCCUGAAUGGGACGCCAGUCCAUCACAGUGCACCAGACACACACAUGCAUUAUAUGGCUAAAGUUGCAUCUCCUCUAGCCUCUCUGUCAGCAAGUGGGCUGUGUGUGCGGCUCUUUGGAACUUCUUCCAUAACGACCACACCGAUGCCCUCCUCCUCCUCAUCCUCCUCAUCCUCUGGAUGCAGCUGGCCCCUGGUGGAUCUCGGUCCUGCGCUGGUCGGCUCCAGAGGGGCUUCAAGCACAUCUGGUUCUCGUACGCGAGGCUUGCGCCCACGGCGAGAUGGGAUGCCAUUGCAGCCAUCCUUCUUCAAGUGGCGGUGGAGAUGGUCCGAGCGAACAAAGGUCUUAAAGCAGCUGGAGCACUGAUAGGGGCGUAAGCCUGUGUGUACACGCAUGUGAUUCUUCAGGUCAUAGUUGUGAGCAAAGGCGGCACCACACUGUGUGCACAG